AUCGGGCUGAUGAGUUCCAAACAGGACGAAACCCUAGUCCUAGAU
rnacentral:hammerhead_ribozyme from 1 species